CCCCUAGAUGUUCUGGGCCGCACGCGCGCUACACUGAACAGUUCAACAAGUCUUAACCUUGGCCGAUAGGUCUGGGUAAUCUUUGAACGCUGUUCGUGAUUGGGAUAGACCUUUGCAAUUAUGGGUCUUCAACGAGGAAUUCCUAGUAAACGCAAGUCAUCAGCUUGCAUUGAUUACGUCCCUGCCCUUUGUACACACCGCCCGUCGCACCUACCGAUUGAAUGGUCCGGUGAAAUCUCGGGACGGCGGCUUGGUCGCUUGCGUCCGACUGCUGAAACUUGAUUAAACCAUAUCAUUUAGAGGAAGGUGAAGNCGUAACA
rnacentral:rRNA from 1 species